AUACUUACCUGGCAGGGGAGAUACCAUGAUCACGAAGGUGGUUUUCCCAGGGCGAGGCUUAUCCAUUGCACUCCGGAUGUGCUGACCCCUGCGAUUUCCCCAAAUGUGGGAAACUCGACUGCAUAAUUUGUGGUAGUGGGGGACUGCG
rnacentral:snRNA from 2 species